rnacentral:lncRNA from 1 species
UCACCUUGAUUUCCACUCUCCUUUUUUUCAACCACAUCUUCUACUUUCUCAAUCAUAUCCUCUUUAACUAUUUCAGCUUCACCCUUUUCUGUAAUCACCCCGAAACUUGUUUCCACAGCCUUGCAUGAUUCAUUCUUAGGAUUACCUACAGUUUUACAUGUAAAUCCUCCACUCGAGCUUGGAAAAACAUUUAUUUGUCUGGAUAACUGAC